UCAAAUAGAAACGAGGAAGGUACAUAAAUACUUAGCCUGCAGUCAAAUGCUACACGAGAUCAUAACACUUCAGACUGCGUCGUUGAGGACUCCAAGUUAACAAACUGCUUCUUGUUUUAGAUAAUGGAAACUACAAGGUUGUCUCCCCUUCUUCUUUGCACACUCCUGUGUCUUGUCAUUUUUACGGAAUCUUCCCCUGUUCACCGUAAACCCCGAAAGCACGCCCCGAACGUCAAUGCAGUCUACGCAAACAAAAAACUUCCGGUCGCAAUUCAUAUCAAUGAGCAUGCGCACCAUCAAAAGCGACAAUUUGGCGGAAGCGGAAGUGGUUCAGGAGAAGCCGGAAGUGGGAGCUUCUACGUGAACCGGUUGUUGAACGGUGCAGGACAUCACUCGAACAAGAAACUUCCGGUUGCAUUUCACGUCGGCAAGCAUGCGCAUCAUAAAAAGCGCAGCAUUGGCGGUAGCGGAAGUGGAUUAGGGUUCUAAGCGGAAGUGGAUUAGGGUUCUGAGUGGAAGUGGAUUUGGGUUCCGGCUGGAAGAAGAAAAAAGCCCUCUGGGGUUUUGGAGCUUUCUAGCUCAAAUUAAACUCUGAAUUCCUUGAAAUGUUAAAUAAAAAAUUGUAUGUUAAAAAG